rnacentral:rRNA from 1 species
GGUUCAAGGAUGAAAGACGGUUUCGGCUGUCACUUACAGAUGGACCCGCGGCGCAUUAGCUAGUUGGUGGGGUAAUGGCUCACCAAGGCGACGAUGCGUAGCCGACCUGAGAGGGUGAUCGGCCACACUGGGACUGAGACACGGCCCAGACUCCUACGGGAGGCAGCAGUAGGGAAUCUUCCGCAAUGGACGAAAGUCUGACGGAGCAACGCCGCGUGAGUGAUGAAGGUUUUCGGAUCGUAAAGCUCUGUUGUUAGGGAAGAACAAGUGCGAGAGUAACUGCUCGCACCUUGACGGUACCUAACCAGAAAGCCACGGCUAACUACGUGCCAGCAGCCGCGGUAAUACGUAGGUGGCAAGCGUUGUCCGGAAUUAUUGGGCGUAAAGGGCUCGCAGGCGGUUUCUUAAGUCUGAUGUGA